rnacentral:rRNA from 1 species
CGUGGCCUACGGGAGGCAGCAGUGAGGAAUAUUGGUCAAUGGGCGGAAGCCUGAACCAGCCAAGUCGCGUGAGGGAUUAAGGCCCUAUGGGUCGUAAACCUCUUUUGUCAGGGAGCAAUGGCGUCCACGUGUGGGCGUAUGGAGAGUACCUGAAGAAAAAGCAUCGGCUAACUCCGUGCCAGCAGCCGCGGUAAUACGGAAGGCCCGAGCGUUAUCCGGAUUCAUUGGGCUUAAAGGGAGCGUAGGCGGGCGUUCAAGUCAGCUGUAAAAUCUCGCGGCUCAACCGCGCCCCGCAGUUGAAACUC